GCUGUGGUGGUGUAAUGGUCAGCAUAUCUGCCUAACAAGCAAGAAGAUCCAGGUUCGGGUCCUGGCCGCAGCA